rnacentral:rRNA from 1 species
UACGUAGGAAGCAAGCGUUGUCCGGAAUUACUGGGCGUAAAGCGCGUGUAGGCGGUACGACAAGUCUGCUGUGAAAGCGCCCGGCUUAACCGGGCGAGGUCGGUGGAAACUGUCGCACUAGAGGACGGUAGAGGGGGGUGGAAUUCCCGGUGUAGUGGUGAAAUGCGUAGAGAUCGGGAGGAACACCUGUGGCGAAGGCGGCCCCCUGGCCGGCCCUGACGCUGAGACGCGAAAGCGUGGGGAGCGAACAGG